rnacentral:rRNA from 1 species
AUACGGAGGAUCCGAGCGUUAUCCGGAUUUAUUGGGUUUAAAGGGUGCGCAGGCGGGAUGUUAAGUCGGCGGUGAAAUUUUGCAGCUCAACUGUAAAAGUGCCUUCGAUACUGGCUUUCUUGAGUGUGGAUGAAGUAGGCGGAAUUUGUGGUGUAGCGGUGAAAUGCAUAGAUAUCACGAGGAACUCCGAUUGCGCAGGCAGCUUACUAAACUACUACUGACGCUCAGGCACGAAGGCGUGGGGAUCAAACAGGAUUAGAUACCCUGGUAGUCCACGCAGUAAACGAUGAUUACUAGCUGUUUGCGAUACAAUGUAAGCGGCUGAGCGAAAGCGUUAAGUAAUCCACCUGGGGAGUACGUUCGCAAGAAUGAAACUCAAAUGAAUUGACGGGG